GAUGAACGCUGGCGGCGUGCCUAAUACAUGCAAGUCGAGCGAACAGACGAGGAGCUUGCUCCUCUGACGUUAGCGGCGGACGGGUGAGUAACACGUGGAUAACCUACCUAUAAGACUGGGAUAACUUCGGGAAACCGGAGCUAAUACCGGAUAAUAUAUUGAACCGCAUGGUUCAAUAGUGAAAGACGGUUUUGCUGUCACUUAUAGAUGGAUCCGCGCCGCAUUAGCUAGUUGGUAAGGUAACGGCUUACCAAGGCAACGAUGCUUAGCCGACCUGAGAGGGUGAUCGGCCACACUGGAACUGAGACACGGUCCAGACUCCUACGGGAGGCAGCAGUAGAGAAUCUUCCGCAAUGGGCGAAAGCCUGACGGAGCAACGCCGCGUGAGUGAUGAAGGUCUUCGGAUCGUAAAACUCUGUUAUUAGGGAAGAACAAAUGUGUAAGUAACUAUGCACGUCUUGACGGUACCUAAUCAGAAAGCCACGGCUAACUACGUG
rnacentral:rRNA from 1 species